rnacentral:rRNA from 1 species
AGAGUUUGAUCCUGGCUCAGAAUCAACGCUGGCGGCGUGCCUAACACAUGCAAGUCGAACGAGAAAGUGGAGCAAUCCAUGAGUAAAGUGGCGACCGGGUGAGUAACACGUGACCAAUCUACCCUUGAGUGGGGGAUAACCUCGGGAAACCGGGGCUAAUACCGCAUAAUAUCCUUGGAACGGAAGUACUGGGGAUCAAAGGAGCAAUUCGCUUAAGGAGGAGGUCGCGGCUGAUUAGCUAGUUGGCGGGGUAAUGGCCCACCAAGGCAAAGAUCGGUAGCCGGCCUGAGAGGGCGCACGGCCACACUGGAACUGAAACACGGUCCAGACUCCUACGGGAGGCAGCAGUGGGGAAUUUUGCGCAAUGGGGGAAACCCUGACGCAGCAACGCCGCGUGGAGGA